UCUUUUAGGCGUUAAUUCAAUUUCCAAAAUUUAUUUAGAUUUCUUGUUUUAAUAAGAACUUGUCAAAGAAUGUAUUCCAUAUUUAGCAUAGUAUAUGUGUAUUAAGAUAUGGUGAUGUGGUAUGAUUGCCAAUGAGACAACUGCUUUUUAUUUUUUUUUGAUAUCUUCUCUUCCUGUCUGGAUAUGUCUUUUGUGGCCACUCCAUAUGGACUUCUCUCUGUGAUAAGUUUGCAUGGUAACUACAUAACACUUAUGUUUUAUUUCUUGCAUUUUUUUAAUCAAUAGCAUUCUUUUAAUGAUUCAUGACAUUAAACAUAAUAUGCAAUUUUUAGAAAUUUCUAUGGUAUGAAAUAACGUUAUUUUCUGAAACUCAAUUUUUUGCUGAAAUGGGAUAUUUUGGUACUGCCUCUGACCUCCUCUGUGCUCUCUUCACUACAUUAACACAUAUAACAAUUGUAUGAUAAGAAUUCAUUAUGUUUAUGUUAAAUUACUAAGGUAUUUCAAAAGUGCAAUAUGACAAUUAUAUAGUCUAGUGUUAUGAGAUCAAAACAAGCCAAUUCCUCCAGGCUAGAAAACGCGCCAAAAGGGGAGAUAUUGUCCUAAAAAAAAAUACCCCAUACCAAUGACCAGCACUAUUAUCUUUUUUCCAAUAG
rnacentral:lncRNA from 1 species